CUACCCCCAAGCUCCAACCCCUCCUCCCCACCUCCGCCGCCCCACCACCCUCUCCUCUGCCGCACCAAAACCAACACCAUCCUUCACGUCGCCACUUCUUGUCUCUUUCCGCCGUCACCACCGCAACACUAUCUCUUUCAUCGCUUCUACCAGUGACACCACCACAGGCAUUCGCAGCCGAGGACGAGGAGUACGUAAAAGAGACCUCCGAUGUCAUCAACAAAGUGAGGAACACCAUCAGCAUGGACAAAAACGACCCUAACGUCGCCACCGCGGUGGCGGAGCUUAGAGACACGUCGAACAGUUGGGUGGCUAAGUACAGGAGGGAGAAAGCUUUGUUGGGUCGAGCUUCGUUUCGUGAGAUUUAUUCGGCAUUGAAUGCUGUCUCGGGACAUUAUAUUAGCUUUGGGCCGACGGCGCCAAUUCCGGCUAAGAGAAAGGC
rnacentral:lncRNA from 1 species